UUUUUUUUUUUUUUUUCACUUUUUGAUAAAGCAUUUUUAUCUUUUCGUCAGAGAGCAUAGUUGUGUGCAGGAGAUCUGCAAUCAGGCUUGAAAUUAUUGGCUGUAAUAAUUUGAGAUAAUGGAUAUUUGAAUUAUUUAAUCAUUCAAUUUAAUACAAAAUAAAGAGCAUUGAGCAACAUCCAGUUUCAGAUAAGUCAGAACUGGCCCAUAAUUUCACAUUUAUUUUGGUUGUUGCAAAUGUCUAAGUGAUACGCUUAGAAUUAAAGAGCAUUAGCAUUGCCAGGGAUUUUGGGUUGUUGGAAGGAUGUGCCUGUGCUUGCUCUGUAGGCUAUUAGAAAGCUAAACUCCUUGUGACACAAGCUUCUUAUGUAACCUUUCUCAUACAAGUGACUUGAUGUCGUCAGACGUGUUUUGUGCAUCUGCACUAGCUCCAUACAAUCCUCUCCUUGACAAUCCAAUACAGUAUAAACCCUUCUUUCCCUUCCAGUGGUUUGGGUACUGUGGCUUCGGAAUUCCAUCCUCAUUGAAAAGGUAAUCAUCUCCCUUCAGCCAUUUAUUUGUUGAUCUUUUGAAUCCAGUACAAAAAAUGAUUGCGUCAAACGAGUGUGACCUGCCAUUCUCAAAGAGUACCUCAUUUCCUCUUAUAUUUUGUAUUGCAGGCAAGACUUGAAUCUCUCCGGCCUUGAUCUUAUCGAAGGUACCCACAUCAAAAAUAGGAUACUUGCCGUAAGCAACUUUCAUGAAGAAGGGACCCUCUGUAGCCCUUCUCAUCCCAUAAUUGGUCAAGUCUCCGUAUACAAACUUGCUAAACAACACCAUCAGUGAGUCCACAAUUCCCAAUGAAAAAUACUUCAACAUAACCAAGCCCAAGUGCACCAUCUCCCUAGAUAGAAUGUGAACCGGGCUUCGAACAACAAUGGAUGUUCUGGCACCAUGGUUUGCCAGGUCUAGAGCAAUCUCCAUACCAGAAUUACCAGACCCAACAACCAAAACAUUCUUGUCUCUAUAAGCCUUGCCAUUUCCGAACUGAGUAGAGUGCAGAACAUCACCUGUGAAACUAUUCAAUCCUUCAACCUCAGGUAUGAAAGGAUUGCAAGCUUCUCCACUUGCCACCACCAAAAACCUAGCAGAGUAUUCCUCAGUCUCGCUGGAACUCACAUUCCUGACCAUAACCUUCCAUUUCUUGGUGGCUUCAUCGUAGCUGGCCGACUCCACACAUCUUUGGUAGAUAGGAGAAAUCUUGAAAUGAGAAACGUAGUGAUCUAGAUAUUUGAUGAAAUGAUCUUUAGGGAUAUAAGUGGGAGAGGAGGCAGGGAAAGGCAUGUGAGGGAGCUCGCAGAAUUGCUUUUUUAAGUGAAGGUGCAGACGAUCAUAUGAAUAUUUCUUCCAAAGAGAAGCGAAACAAUCUUCCCUUUCCAGGAUGAUGUGAGGGAUUGAAUGCUGGUUUAGGCAUGCCGAAGUGGCUAGACCGGAGGGGCCAGCUCCUACUAUGAUUGCUACUGGAUCUUGCAUUUUCUUGGGUGAUUUGGAGUAUGCCUUCUUUCGGUUUGGAUUUGCAAGUGCAAGAGGAGACCUAAUGGAGUUGGCCUAAUUUAUAAGCUUACUCCUUACUUCCUGGGAGGACUUCGUACGCCAUUUCAACCAAACAAGGACGUAGUGGUUGAAGAACCAAAGAUGUGCAUUUGAUUUGAGU
rnacentral:misc_RNA from 1 species